UCCAGACUCCUACGGGAGGCAGCAGUGGGGGAUAUUGCACAAUGGGGGGAACCCUGAUGCAGCGACGCCGCGUGGGUGAAGGAGCGUUUCGGCGCGUAAAGCCCUAUCGGCAGGGAAGAAGGAGGACGGUACCUGACUAAGAAGCCCCGGCUAACUACGUGCCAGCAGCCGCGGUAAUACGUAGGGGGCAAGCGUUAUCCGGAUUUACUGGGUGUAAAGGGGGCGCAGACGGCAGCGCAAGCCAGGAGUGAAAGCCCGGGGCCCAACCCCGGGACUGCUCUUGGAACUGCGCGGCUGGAGUGCAGGAGGGGCAGGCGGAAUUCCUGGUGUAGCGGUGAAAUGCGUAGAUAUCAGGAGGAACACCGGUGGCGAAGGCGGCCUGCUGGACUGCGACUGACGUUGAGGCCCGAAAGCGUGGGGAGCAAACAGGAUUAGAUACCCUAGUAU
rnacentral:rRNA from 1 species